rnacentral:rRNA from 1 species
ACCGUGCAAAGGUAGCAUAAUCAUUUGUUCUCUAAAUAGGGACUUGUAUGAAUGGCCACACGAGGGUUUAACUGUCUCUUACUUCCAAUCAGUGAAAUUGACCUUUCCGUGAAGAGGCGGGAAUACACAAAUAAGACGAGAAGACCCUAUGGAGCUUUAAUUAACUAACCCAUAAUAAUUUAUAAACUCACCUACCAGGUCUAACACAACAUUAUUACUGGGUUAACAAUUUAGGUUGGGGUGACCUCGGAGAAUAAAACAACCUCCGAGUGAUUAAAUCACAGACAAACCAGUCGAAGCAUUUUAUCAUUUAUUGAUCCAAUAUCUUGAUCAACGGAACAAGUUACCCUAGGGAUAACAGCGCAAUCCUAUUUGAGAGUCCAUAUCAACAAUAGGGUUUACGACCUCGAUGUUGGAUCAGGACAUCCUAAUGGUGCAGCAGCUAUUAAGGGUUCGUUUGUUCAACGAUUAAAGUCCUACGUGAUCUGAGUUCAGACCGG